rnacentral:rRNA from 1 species
UACGUAGGGUGCGAGCGUUGUCCGGAAUUAUUGGGCGUAAAGAGCUCGUAGGCGGUCUGUCGCGUCGGAUGUGAAAACCCAGGGCUCAACCCUGGGCCUGCAUUCGAUACGGGCAGACUAGAGUUCGGUAGGGGAGACUGGAAUUCCUGGUGUAGCGGUGGAAUGCGCAGAUAUCAGGAGGAACACCGGUGGCGAAGGCGGGAUCCUGGGCCAGUACUGACGCUGAGGAGCGAAAGCGUGGGGAGCAAACAGG